AACGAACGCUGGCGGCACGUUUUAAGCAUGCAAGUCGAACGGCAGUGGGGGCAACCCCAUGAGAGUGGCGAACGGGUGAGUAACACGUAGGUGAUCUGCCUUUGGGUUGGGGAUAGCUUGUGGAAACACAGGGUAAUACCGAAUGAGCUGACGAGGCUUUGGCCAUGUUAGGAAAGGUGCUACGGCACCGCCUAGAGGGGAGCCUGCGGCUGAUUAGCUAGUUGGUGGGGUAAAGGCCUACCAAGGCGACGAUCAGUAGCCGGCCUGAGAGGGUGUACGGCCACACUGGAACUGAGACACGGUCCAGACUCCUACGGGAGGCAGCAGCUAAGAAUCUUCCGCAAUGGGCGAAAGCCUGACGGAGCGAUGCCGCGUGAUCGAUGAAGGUCGAGAGAUUGUAAAGAUCUUUUCCAACUGAGGAAUAAGUGGACCAGGGAAUGGGUUCAUGAUGACGUUAAGUUGGGAAUAAGCCCCGGCUAAUUACGUGCCAGCCGCCGCAGUAA
rnacentral:rRNA from 1 species